rnacentral:tRNA from 1 species
UGCCCGGUCGUCUAACGGUAGGACAACAGACUCUGGAUCUGUUUAUCUUGGUUCGAAUCCAAGCUGGGCAG